rnacentral:lncRNA from 1 species
UCUAUUAUGGAUUAGAUCUCACGAGCUUACUAAUCAAUGGUUUUGUAUGUUGUCUUUUUAUGCAUCAACAUGCACAUAACUAUAAUGUAAUUUACGGACUAAAACAACUAAUCAAAUUACCAAUGAACUGCUAGGAAAGAAACUAAAAUGUGCUGCGCAACACAUGUUUCAGUCAUCUCUACUCUGUUAAUAAUACAAUAUUAUUCCACUUUGCUCACAACUGGUUGGCUACCUUUCGUGUAUAGUUAACUUGUGGAUGUCUUAGCAACAAGGCUAAGCUAUGAAAGCUACUGCAAUUAGUAGUUCUAACCCCACCAUUUGAAAGCCUACAUAGUAUUUAAAUGAACUGAUAAUCAAGCUGCAAUAUACAACAUAAGCUAGGAUUAGUAUCUAAACAACUGUAAUGAAGCCAUCUGCAAACAAUACACCAUAGGGUUAUUAUCUAAACAUUUGAAGGAUAACUCUUCUGUCAGUAGCCUCAAGCAGUACACACUGUGACCCUGAUAAUGCAGAUAUUGCUCCUAGCAGGAAGAACAAAAAAAUCCAUGGAUGGAUUUUACUGGUUUGACAUGGUCUACACUACAACUUACACAAGUCACUAGUUCCAGGGACGUGGUAUAUUUAAAAUGUAAAUAUCAUCUAAGUUCUUUCCCCUGCCCUCUCUCUCUUUCUCUAAGGAUAUUUUGUGCUAACUGAUGAAACACUGCCUUCUCUGUUAUUGUCAAAUCCUUCAUAUGCGAGACAUUCUCUUCCCUCUGACCUUAUCCGCACUAUAAGGUAACACUUGUACAAAUAUUACUAGCAGAGCAUACCGUACAACCAAGAUUUCAAAUUUAAGCUUGCAUACCAUUUCAAUCAACAACUACUGAGCACAUAUAUAAUGCUAACUUUUUAAGUUACUGAAAUCAAGACAUACAAUUCAAUGAUUCAUAACCUCAAUUUAUCAACUUAAUAAUUUAUUUUAACAUUUUCGAGCUAAAAAAUAUAACACAUUAUAAUUCCUAAGAGCACUUCUAGGUGGACAUGAAAAUUGUACAUGAAUUUCAUCUAUUUGUAUUUUUACCCCUAUUGCGUAAAAUUCAAACACCAAUUUUCAUGUCCAAUUAGACUUUUUGUUCAAAUUAUACAAACCUAACAGAAUGACUGGUUUGAUAAAUCAAAGCCAUGAGAAGUUCAUAAAUGAACACAUUCCUCCAAGGGAUAGAAACUGCAACAAUUGGAGGUAAAUUGAAAGAAAUUCAUCUAAGAUGGUUUGACCAAUGACCAAAAGUGUAGCUGAAGAUCAAUUCUCUUUAUAUAUAAUAACUAUAACCUAGGUUUAGCUAGGCAAAUUGUUAUAUGUAUUCAUAUAUUACAAGUACUUAUGAAUGAAUACCACAGAAAAAAAUUACCCAUUUCGAACAGAAUUGUUCAUUCUCCGGGAUUAAAGUGAAAUGUAUUUGAUCACAAAACACAAACAGAACUACAAAAGAUAGUGAUUUCGAAAGAUAAAUUAUUUUUCUUUUCAAAUGAGUUUGAAAGGGAGAGGCCAAGGGGUGGACCUGGGGACCUCAACUUUGUCUUUGAUGCGCUCAAUCUUCUUCUCUUUCUUGGGCCUUGAGUUUCCGAAUGACCCAUUGAAUCUCUUCCCUCUCUUCGUUUUCUUGUCCCCUCUGCCGCACACUAUCGGCGUUGCCGGCGCCGUUGAUGACGACGACAACCAAGUUGAUGAAGAAAGUGACGAAAAUGUUGCUCCCACUGCUCUACUCUCGGUCGUCAGCAUCAAUCUCUUUACUGCUGCGCCGUACCACUGCAUCAUCAUUGCCAUGAUUUUCCUCCCACGAAAACCCUAGGACAGAAAACUGUCAGAUUUCCAAGCACCAAGCUCAGAGAAUGCAGAAAUAAAAUUAUGCAGUGUACACUUUAGUAUAACUGGGACAGUGUUGGAUCAAGUUUCGGCCCAUUAAGCUCAACUCACUUAGGGCCUGGCCCAUCUCCAAUAUUUUGUUUUCCCAUAUUCAAUUUUUUUUAUAUAUAUAAUAAUUAUCUGGGACCUCUAGUAUAAUUGAAGUACACUUCCAUAUGCUUUAGUUUUAGUCAGUCUUGUUUUCUUUUUAGUUUUUGUUUUGUUGUUGUCAUUUUUUUUAAAGCUUUUAAACUUAAAACUAAAAUUAAAAUCAUUUCAUUUAACUCGUGAAAAGUAAAAUUAGAACCCUGGCAAGUUCAAAUAUUUUUACUCGUUACAUCUAACAAGCUUGAUUUAUUUUUAAACUAAAUAGAAUUUUUUUUAAAUAACUGUAGUCAACUCUCAAGCUUUUACACUAGUUAUUUAAGCUCAUAUCAUGUUAUGUUCCACUUGUUCUCAAGUUUGUUGAGUUUGAGUUAUUCACAAGUUAGUGAAUUUACACCCACUAAGCUAUCCUUUUUAAGCUAUAAUGUAUCAGUGGUGUACUAGUGUUGUUUGUGUGCGUUAGGUGGG